rnacentral:lncRNA from 1 species
CAAAUUACUAAAUGACUUGGAAAAAAGGGGGAGGUGUGCAACCAGAUGCUGUGAUGAGAUGGCCAACAGAAUGGUGGUGCAGAAGUGAUAAAUGUAAAUUUAACUGCUUAUAAUGAUGGUCAUUUGCAGUCAUCCUUCUGGAUUGUGGAUAAGCAACAUGUAUACAUUGGAAGUGCCAGUUUAGAUUGGAGUUCACUGGGGC